rnacentral:misc_RNA from 1 species
GCACUCGAUCCUCUAGGUUUUUAUGAGCCACCGGGGGCACACCGGACCUCGCACAACGUGCGAUGCUCUUUUAGUCGCCGGACCCUACCUCCAACUAGGUCAUUUUCAGGGUGGGCAAGCUGUUAAAUAGAAAAUGUAACUCUUCUUGAGGCCCUGUCAACAUCUCCAGACUCCCUAAAGUCUCCGUCAGGCCCUAGCCGCCAUAUCUCGUUUUGGGUUUUAAAAAUAUAGAGACUAAU